rnacentral:rRNA from 1 species
UACGUAGGGAGCAAGCGUUGUUCGGAUUUACUGGGCGUAAAGGGCGCGUAGGCGGCAAAUUAAGUCAGCUGUGAAAUCUCCGAGCUUAACUCGGAACGGUCAGCUGAUACUGAUCUGCUAGAGUGCGGAAGGGGCAAUCGGAAUUCUUGGUGUAGCGGUGAAAUGCGUAGAUAUCAAGAGGAACACCUGAGGUGAAGACGGGUUGCUGGGCCGACACUGACGCUGAGUGCGCGAAAGCCAGGGGAGCAAACGGGGAUUAGAACCGUCCUGUCA